GUGUUCAGUUUGGCAGCGCAUACACUAAAACUGGCAUGAGACAGAGAAGAUUAGCAAGGCCCCUGUGCAAGGAUAACAUGCAAAUUCGUGAAGCAUUCCAUAUUUUU
rnacentral:snRNA from 1 species